rnacentral:misc_RNA from 1 species
AAAUUCAAACACAGGGAACCGCGUUUACUCUUCUUUUUUAAUUUUUCUUUUCCAUGGGUUCAAACUUGCAAGUUUGAAAUGACUUAACUCUACUCUUCUAAUGAGUCUUGCUUUUGACUUGUGCGCCAUCUCAAGUCUGUAUUGUUCUUAUUCCUUUCAAAUCUACUUCUCCAUCACGCGCACACAGACCUCGAGAACAGGAAUUCUCAGCUUCGGCUUCCCAGAUGCACAAAAAGGCAGCCUCAUAACUAAACCCGCAGUUGCUUGUAUUGGUACAAGAUCACCAGAAAGAUGAGGAAAACAAUCCUAUCAGUCAACUAUCAAUGCAUUUUCUUCUAUUUUGUUGGUUUUCUAUUAAUAUAUGAAUCGGUGAUGGGGGACCCCAGAGCCCAACAAGUGAAAGUUACAUGCGGACGCCAACUUGAGAACAACGCAACCAUCUUUGUGCCGAAUUUUGUUGCCACAAUGGAGAAUAUCAGUGAGCAGAUGCGUACUUCAGGGUUUGGAGUAGCGGUUACAGGUUCAGGACUUGACACUAACUAUGGCCUUGCUCAAUGUUAUGGAGACCUUUCUUUACUUGACUGUGUAUUGUGCUACGCUGAGGCACGGACAGUUCUACCACAGUGCUAUCCUUACAAUGGGGGUCGCAUUUUCCUAGAUGGUUGCUUCAUGAGAUCAGAAAACUAUAGCUUCUUUGAGGAAUAUAAAGGACCUGGAGACGAAGUUGUGUGUGGGAAUACAACAAGGAAGAAUUCAACAUUUGGGGAAUCAGCUAAGCAGGCUGUGUCAACUGCAGUGUCAAGUGCACCAAAUAACAAAGGCUAUGCACGGGCUCAAAUGGCAGUUCCAGGGACAAACGAAUCAGCUUAUGUAUUAGCUGAUUGCUGGAGGACAUUGAAUGCAAGCUCUUGCAGGGCAUGCUUGGAGAAUGCUAGUGCAUCCAUAUUGAAAUGUUUGCCUUGGUCAGAGGGGAGGGCACUGAAUACUGGGUGUUUUAUGAGGUACUCAGAUAGAAAUUUUCUCAAUCCAGUGCCAACAAACGGACGUUCGAGAGGGAGCGUUAUAGUGAUAGUGGUUUCAGUUGUCAGCUCUCUGUUGGUUCUAGGAGUUGGGGUAACUAUAGGAAUUUAUAUCUGGAAGCAGAGAUACAUACAGAAGAAAAGAAGAGGUAGUAAAGUUUGUGUUGCUUUUAUAUAUCUCUUCUGCAAUGUAAAAUCUCCAUCAUAGACAACAUUUUAAUGGAUGUGCAAGGAAAAGGCUGUUGAUACAUUUAUAUAAAAUUAUCCAUUCAGUUUUCCUUAUCUUUUGGAAUGCGAUUGUCUUUGUCCUCCAGGUUCAAAUGAUGCACAUAAGCUGGUUAAAACCCUUAAUGACAGUAGCUUGAAUUUCAAGUACUCUACACUUGAGAAGGCUACAGGAUCUUUCGAUGAUGGCAACAAGCUUGGACAAGGAGGAUUUGGAUCAGUUUAUAAGGGAGUUUUGCCAGAUGGAAGAGAGAUUGCCGUAAAGAGGCUUUUCUUUAACAACAGACAUAGAGCAGCAGAUUUCUACAAUGAAGUUAAUAUGAUAAGUAGUGUGGAACACAAAAAUCUGGUCAGGUUAUUGGGAUGCAGUUGUUCUGGACCUGAAAGCCUCCUUGUCUAUGAAUUCCUGCCUAACAAGAGUCUCGAUCGUUUCAUCUUUGGUAAAUACUAGAAUUUCACAUUAAAAGUUCAUCUGAUAUUGCAAAAUUAUUGCAAUCUACAGUAACAAAUAAGGCUACUCUAUUCUUGCUGCCAUUCUAUAAGCAUGUCUUACUGUCUCAAUACCGAGUCCAACUGAACUUGACAAUGUUAUGCAUAUUACAUCUAAAUGUGACAGAUCAAAACAAAGGCAAAGCCCUGACUUGGGAGAAGAGAUAUGACAUCAUUAUUGGAACAGCAGAAGGUUUAGUCUAUCUUCAUGAAAACUCCAAGAACAGGAUCAUUCACAGGGAUAUAAAGGCUAGCAACAUUUUAUUGGAUUCUAGGUUUCGCGCUAGAAUUGCCGAUUUUGGAUUGGCCAGGUCUUUCCAAGAAGAUAAGAGUCAUAUCAGCACAGCCAUUGCAGGAACACUGUGAGUAUCAGUUCCUUUUUGUUCAUUUGCGGAGGUAUUACUCAAAGUUUAAGCUCAAUAAUCUUGUAAUAAAAUGAUUGAAUAUGAAAUUCAUAUAUGAACAUGAUAUUAUGAAAGAGCAAUGAUUUCAAUUUUAUAAAUCUGCAGUGGAUACAUGGCACCAGAGUACCUGGCUCAUGGGCAGUUAACAGAAAAGGCAGAUGUCUACAGCUUUGGUGUGCUUUUGUUGGAGAUUGUCACAGGGAGGCAGAACAACAGGAGCAAAACCUCGGAAUAUACAGACAGCCUAGUCACACUUGUAAGUUCCAGGAAUCUAACCUUAACCUGUCUUUCUUCAGUCAAAUCAUCUGAUGUUGCACCACCACCAUAACAGCAAUGUGAAGAAUGAUGUCCUCAGAGUAGUGCAUAUAGGACUUCUAUGUACACAAGAGAUAGCAUCACUUCGACCAACAAUGGCAAAGGCGCUACAGAUGCUAACAGCAGAUGAACAACUCCCUGCACCCACUAAUCCCCCUUUCAUAGAUGAAAAAACCAUGGAACUAAAUGACACAUGCGAGGACCCAUGGUACCCUCUUAAUGCUGGCCUUUCAGCAUCAAUUGCAACUGUCACCCAUAGUUCCUUCUAUCCAAGAUGACCUGAAGAGCAACAAAAGGGAGUUCUACAGAGGACAAUUGCGUUUAAAAUCUUGACACAAAAUGAAAGAUAAACAUCAGUCAGUAUGUCACCUCAUCAAAGCACAUGUUGCAAGCAAUUUCAGGAACCUGAUGGAGGCCUAUUUGAGCAGUUGGCAAUAUAUGCAGAUGGGCAUCCAAUGACUUGUAGAUAUGAAAUUGAGGAUAGUUGCCGAUGUUCAUAUGUUUAUCAUGAAAUUAGAGAAAAAAAAAAUACCCCAACUAAAGCUGUAUUUUUCCUCAAGAAAUUUUGGGUUUAAAUCAAUGAAUCUCAGCUUGCCAAAGACUGGAUAUGAGACUGCAAUAAUGUCCUUAUUUCUCUUGUAUGCAAAAUUGCAUGUUUUUUUACCUUUUGCACCCACGGGAAAGAAUGGAUAAAGAAAGUGAGAAACUAAAGUGCAGUGUAUGUGUGGACGAUGGACAUAGGAAUUCGGUCAUGUUGCCAAAAUUGUUUUACAAAUACAAAGAACUUACAGCAUGGAACUUCUGAGUUCACAGACAAUAUUCUAAUACAAAGUUAAAACCCCUGUACUUCCUCGCAAGAAAACUUGGAACAUAUCCUGGCAAAUUCCAAGCAUCAUUCUUUGUCUAUCGUGUGGCCACUAGGUUUCCCAUUAGGCCUCCACUAAUUUCAUAAUGUUUGGCAGUCGAAAAUCCUGCUUCCAGAGCAAGUUCCCCCAACUCCUCCCCUGUAUCAAGAGCACACACUAUGAUCACCUAGUCAAUAAUAAGAAGUUGCAGGAGUAAAUGUGCCUUCCAUAAGUAUUUCCAAUUUUGCAGUUCCACCUUCAAACAGUUUUGAACAUACUGGCUAUUAUAAAACAACAAAAACUUGAUACAAAUCAACGGCCCAACAAAAAUCUUUAGUUUCUGACCCAGUAGACAAAAAAGACCUCGAGAUGGAUAGUAACUUGACAGAGAGAAGCAAUUAAAUACGUAUUUUCAUUAGACCCGAGGUUUUAUUAGUAUUCAAAAUUUGUUUAUUUUACAUUACCACUCUGAAAAUAAAUAAUGCAUACAUUAUAGCGGGAGAAAAAAGACCUCUCAAAAAUUCUCUGAUUGAGCUGUUCAAGUAUUCAUACUUCUUUGCAAGGCCAUGGGCAGAUGCCACAGGAACAACAACACUGCCAAUCAUCCAUUCCUUGAUAAGAAAUAUACAAAAGAUAUGAUUUUUGUCAUAUUUUCAAAUAGACAAUAAAUAUUAUCAAACUUUAAGCCUGCCAAUCAAUUGACAUUUGCAAUAAGUUUCAAUAAUAUAUAAAAGUCUAAUUGUCUGAAAAAUCCUAAACUUUUAAACACUUUCAAUGGUAUUCCACACUUUUAAUUUUGUCAUUUGGUUCAUAAAUCAUCAAUAAUCAACGCUGGCUCAUAUUGAGCAAAAAAAAAAAAUCAUUGACAGCGAACAAAUUUCAUUUGUUCAAGCUCGAUUAGAAACAUCAUAUGCACAGAAUUUUAGGCGUCAAAAAGGCAAAUACCAAAAGCCUUUCAUUUUGUAACUGAAUACCUGAAAUGAAACCACAAAUGGUUGAGUACUCUUAUUAAAGUCAAGGACAGAUGCUUUUGCACCUGUAAACCAGAGCAAGGAUGAGAAAUUUUUUAUCAACCUAUCAUUUUAUUGGAUA